AGCUUGCUCCCUGAUGUUAGCGGCGGACGGGAUUAACACGUGGGUAACCUGCCUGUAAGACUGGGAUAACUCCGGGAAACCGGGGCUAAUACCGGAUGCUUGUUUGAACCGCAUGGUUCAAACAUAAAAGGUGGCUUCGGCUACCACUUACAGAUGGACCCGCGGCGCAUUAGCUAGUUGGUGAGGUAAUGGCUCACCAAGGCAACGAUGCGUAGCCGACCUGAGAGGGUGAUCGGCCACACUGGGACUGAAACACGGCCCAGACUCCUACGGGAGGCAGCAGUAGGGAAUCUUCCGCAAUGGACGAAAGUCUGACGGAGCAACGCCGCGUGAGUGAUGAAGGUUUUCGGAUCGUAAAGCUCUGUUGUUAGGGAAGAACAAGUACCGUUCGAAUAGGGCGGUACCUUGACGGUACCUAACCAGAAAGCCACGGCUAACUACGUGCCAGCAGCCGCGGUAAUACGUAGGUGGCAAGCGUUGUCCGGAAUUAUUGGGCGUAAAGGGCUCGCAGGCGGUUUCUUAAGUCUGAUGUGAAAGCCCCCGGCUCAACCGGGGAGGGUCAUUGGAAACUGGGGAACUUGAGUGCAGAAGAGGAGAGUGGAAUUCCACGUGUAGCGGUGAAAUGCGUAAGAUGUGGGAGGAACACCAGUGGCGAAGGCGACUCUCUGGUCUGUAACUGACGCUGAGGAGCGAAAGCGUGGGGGAGCGAACAGGAUUAAUACCCUGGUAGUCCACGCCGUAAACGAUGAGUGCUAAGUGUAGGGGGUUUCCGCCCCUUAGUGCUGCAGCUAACGCAUUAAGCACUCCGCCUGGGGAGUACGGNCGCAAGACUGAAACUCAAGGGANUGACGGGGGCCCGCCACGGUGGAGCUGGUUUAUUUCGAACACGCGAAGAAUCUUUACCAGGCUUGACUUCCUCUGACA
rnacentral:rRNA from 2 species